rnacentral:rRNA from 6 species
AGACCCGAAACCCGGUGAUCUAGCCAUGGGCAGGUUGAAGGUUGGGUAACACUAACUGGAGGACCGAACCGACUAAUGUUGAAAAAUUAGCGGAUGACCUGUGGCUGGGGGUGAAAGGCCAAUCAAACCGGGAGAUAGCUGGUUCUCCCCGAAAGCUAUUUAGGUAGCGCCUCGUGAAUUCAUCUCCGGGGGUAGAGCACUGUUUCGGCUAGGGGGCCAUCCCGGCUUACCAACCCGAUGCAAACUGCGAAUACCGGAGAAUGUUAUCACGGGAGACACACGGCGGGUGCUAACGUCCGUCGUGAAGAGGGAAACAACCCAGACCGCCAGCUAAGGUCCCAAAGUCAUGGUUAAGUGGGAAACGAUGUGGGAAGGCCCAGACAGCCAGGAUGUUGGCUUAGAAGCAGCCAUCAUUUAAAGAAAGCGUAAUAGCUCACUGGUCGAGUCGGCCUGCGCGGAAGAUGUAACGGGGCUAAACCAUGCACCGAAGCUGCGGCAGCGAACGUAUCACCCAAGACAACUUUACGGAGUUGACGAUUGACGGAGCGAAGCGACGUCAAAGCGUUCAUUAAAGUCGAGUUGGCUUAGGGAUACGUUCGUUGGGUAGGGGAGCGUUCUGUAAGCCUGUGAAGGUGUGUCGUGAGGCAUGCUGGAGGUAUCAGAAGUGCGAAUGCUGACAUAAGUAACGAUAAAGCGGGUGAAAAGCCCGCUCGCCGGAAGACCAAGGGUUCCUGUCCAACGUUAAUCGGGGCAGGGUGAGUCGACCCCUAAGGCGAGGCCGAAAGGCGUAGUCGAUGGGAAACGGGUUAAUAUUCCCGUACUUGGUGUUACUGCGAAGGGGGGACGGAGAAGGCUAUGUUGGCCGGGCGACGGUUGUCCCGGUUUAAGCGUGUAGGUGUGUGUUCCAGGUAAAUCCGGUUCACUUUAACACUGAGGCGUGA